AUACGGAGGGUGCAAGCGUUAAUCGGAAUUACUGGGCGUAAAGCGUGCGUAGGUGGUUUGUUAAGUCAGAUGUGAAAGCCCCGGGCUCAACCUGGGAACUGCAUUUGAAACUGGCAUACUAGAGUAUAGGAGAGGAAAGUGGAAUUUCAGGUGUAGCGGUGAAAUGCGUAGAUAUCUGAAGGAACAUCAAUGGCGAAGGCAGCUUUCUGGACUAAUACUGACACUGAGGUACGAAAGCGUGGGUAGCAAACAGUAUUAGAAACCCUAGUAGUCC
rnacentral:rRNA from 1 species